rnacentral:rRNA from 1 species
UAGUCCACGCCGUAAACGAUGUAUGCUAGUUGUUGGUAUCCAUAGGAUAUCAGUGACGCAGCUAACGCGAUAAGCAUACCGCCUGGGGAGUACGGUCGCAAGAUUAAAACUCAAAGGAAUUGACGGGGGCUCACACAAGCGGUGGAGGAUGUGGUUUAAUUCGAAGCAACGCGAAGAACCUUACCAGGCCUUGACAUGCAGGGAUAACCAGAGCGAAAACUUUGGGAUUGCCUUUACGGGUGUAACCUGCACAGGUGCUGCAUGGCUGUCGUCAGCUCGUGCCGUGAGGUGUUAGGUUAAGUCCUUUAACGAGCGAAACCCCUAUCAUUGGUUGCCAGCGGUUCGGCCGGGGACUCUAAUGAGACUGCCGCGUUGAAGCAGGAGGAAGGUGGGGACGACGUCAAGUCAUCAUGGCCCUUAUGGUCUGGGCUACACACGUCCUACAAUGGUCGGUACAACGGGUCGCUAAGCCGCGAGGUGGAGCUAAUCCCAUAAAGCCGGCUCAGUUCGGAU